rnacentral:rRNA from 1 species
UACGUAGGGUGCAAGCGUUGUCCGGAAUUAUUGGGCGUAAAGAGCUCGUAGGCGGUCUGUCGCGUCUGCUGUGAAAACUCAGGGCUUAACCCUGAGCUUGCAGUGGGUACGGGCAGACUAGAGUGCGGUAGGGGAGACUGGAAUUCAUGGUGUAGCAGUGAAAUGCGUAGAGAUCAUGAGGAAGACCAGUGGCGAAGGCGGGUCUCUGGACAGUUCCUGACAGCUGAGG